rnacentral:rRNA from 1 species
CGCGUAGGCGGCUCAUAAAGGCUGUGGUGAAAGUUCGGGGCUCAACCUCGAAUCGGCCGUGGCGACUUGUGGGCUGGAGCACUGUAGAGGCGAGUGGAAUUCCGGGUGUAGCGGUGGAAUGCGUAGAGAUCCGGAAGAACACCAGUGGCGAAGGCGGCCCGCUGGGCAGUGGCUGACGCUGAAGCGCGACAGCGUGGGAGCAAACA